AUCACGAUUCUGCACAGGGAUUUUAUACAUGGUGUCAACACAGUUCUCCGGUACAUUGCACGUGUUGCAUCUGUUUCCAGCUUCUAUGGCCAGGACGAUAUUCAGGCAGCACAUGUUGACCAAUGGCUCAAGUACGCACCAACUCAUUCUCCCAGGCUCUGAAUUUGAAGCUGCUUGCUCAUUUCUUGAUGAAUACUUGGCAACUUGAACCUUUUUGGUUGGUUAUGGUCUAUCAAUUGCUGACAUUGUCGUGUGGUCAAAUCUCACAGGUCACCAUGGUUGUUCCAUUGUCAUAUCAUUCCUCAUAUGCUGCUGUUUAGCAUCACAAAAGAAGAAGGCCAGAGUUAUUUCUUCCUUUUGGAUAUUUUCCAUCAUAACUAGCAGCCAAUCUGAGCCGAAUAUCUGAAGUAAUUUCCGUAAGUUAAGUUUCGGUGCUCCUAACUUUGAA